rnacentral:lncRNA from 1 species
CUCAUUCUUCUCCUUUGUCUAUUAUCAGGAAGAAACUUGAUUGCUCUUCAAGCCCCAGCUGGAGCCCAAAUUGUCAGCAGCAGAGAAGCUGCCGUUCCUUAGCUUGAGGGCUCUGACUUUAGGCACUCAUGUGCCAGUCAGGAUGGCCUUCCUGCCAAGAGCAGAGAGAUGUCUCCACUCCACUCUGGGGAGGCUCACCCUCUUCGGAACAGGCUUGGGCUCAGGAUUUCUAAUGCAGUGGAAGGCAGAGACAAAUAAAAACGUUUUCAUAACAAGAACAAGAUGAAUGUUCAGAACCUGCACCAUCUCAUUUGUCUGAAACUGGAGAUAAAGUGAGCUCAGUGGCAAAAGUUAAGAUGAAGGGAACGAAGAGAUCUACGAAAGAGCUGGCGUGUAUGAGAGGAAAGCUGGAGAUAUUAAAGUUUGGAAGCUCCACUACAUGCUGGUUUCCUUUAGGACUGACUUUGCCUUUCCUGAGUUUUGUACUGCAAAGACUUCCAUGGUAAGUAGCUGCCAGCUAAUUCCUCUCACCAAGAGGCUCUCUUCCUUUAUUUCUCUGUCCCAGCCAAUGAAAGAUACGUAAAACGCUUUUCUGGACCCCUCUCUCCUUCUCAGCUACAUUUUGCCAAGAACAUUUAGCACAUUUAGUUGUAGGCUAGCAAUGCUUUUUAUUGCAUGUCCCUUGUUU